rnacentral:rRNA from 1 species
UGGGACGAGAAGACCCUAUAGAGUUUUAUAGUUUAUAAUUUAAUUUAUUUUGUAUUAAUAAAAAAAUUAAAUAAAUUUAUAAUUAUUUUAUUGGGGUGAUAAAAAAAUAUAAUUAACUUUUUUUUUAAAAAUUCAUAUAUAAGUGAUUAAAUGAUCCAUAAAUAAUGAUUAAAAGAAAAAAUUACCUUAGGGA